rnacentral:rRNA from 1 species
AUUGAACGCUAGCGGUAUGCUUUACACAUGCAAGUCGAACGGCAGCGCGGACUUCGGUCUGGCGGCGAGUGGCGAACGGGUGGGUAAUGUAUCGGAACGUGCCCAGUAGCGGGGGAUAACUACGCGAAAGCGUAGCUCAUACCGCAUAAGCCCUACGGGGGAACGCAGGGGAUCGUAAGACCUUGCACUAUUGGAGCGGCCGAUAUCGGAUUAGCUAGUUGGUGAGGUAACGGCUCACCAAGGCGACGAUCCGUAGCUGGUUUGAGAGGACGACCAGCCACACUGGAACUGAGACACGGCCCAGACUCCUACGGGAGGCAGCAGUGGGGAAUAUUGGACAAUGGGGGCAACCCUGAUCCAGCCAUACCGCGUGUGUGAUGAAGGCCUUCGGGUUGUAAAGCACUUUUGGUAGGAAAGAAACGUCGCGGGCUAAUACCCCGUGGAACUGACGGUACCUGCAGAAUAAGCACCGGCUAACUACGUG